rnacentral:rRNA from 1 species
CCAGACUCCUACGGGAGGCAGCAGUGGGGAAUAUUGCACAAUGGGGGAAACCCUGAUGCAGCGACGCCGCGUGAGCGAUGAAGUAUUUCGGUAUGUAAAGCUCUAUCAGCAGGGAAGAAGAUGACGGUACCUGACUAAGAAGCCCCGGCUAACUACGUGCCAGCAGCCGCGGUAAUACGUAGGGGGCAAGCGUUAUCCGGAUUUACUGGGUGUAAAGGGAGCGUAGACGGCGAUGCAAGCCAGGAGUGAAAGGCCGGGGCCCAACCCCGGGACUGCUCUUGGAACUGCAUGGCUGGAGUGCGGGAGGGGCAGGCGGAAUUCCUGGUGUAGCGGUGAAAUGCGUAGAUAUCAGGAGGAACAUCAGUGGCGAAGGCGACUAUCUGGCACAUAACUGACGCUGAGGAGCGAAAGCGUGGGUAGCAAACAGGAUUAGAUACCCCGGUAUAA